GGGGUUUGGUGAGCACUAGCUGCAGCUUGGGCCUGGGGCCCUCCCGGGGACCGAUCUGGGCGCUUUACCUGGACCCGGACUUCGGGUGGCUAAAUUGGUUUCUAUUUCUUAACUUCACGGUUUGAAAUCUUCUUCACCACCACACAGAAGCCUGCCUGAAGGAGGGGCUGAUCUGAAGCGAUCAGAUUAAACUACUGUCCACGGGGCCCUGAGCACAGGCUCUCCCUGAGCACACUGCCCAGCCCCCCUCCCCCCGCAAGGCCAGGGCCAAAAUAGGCACCAGAUAACACUGGCCCAUCUUCUGGAUUUGGAGAGCGAAACAGAGACUUACACCAACAGCCUUCUAGUUGAGAAAGACACCAGCAACUUUCCUGGGCCUCCAGCUUGCAGACAGCAGAUAGUGGGACUUCUCAGCCUCCAUAAUCACG